rnacentral:rRNA from 1 species
GCUAAACGCGAAGAACCUUACCAAGGCUUGACAUAUACGAGAACGGGCCAGAAAUGGUCAACUCUUUGGACACUCGUAAACAGGUGGUGCAUGGUUGUCGUCAGCUCGUGUCGUGAGAUGUUGGGUUAAGUCCCGCAACGAGCGCAACCCUCGUUCUAUGUUGCCAGCACGUAAUGGUGGGAACUCAUGGGAUACUGCCGGGGUCAACUCGGAGGAAGGUGGGGAUGACGUCAAAUCAUCAUGCCCCUUAUGUCUUGGGCUUCACGCAUGCUACAAUGGCCGGUACAAAGGGCUGCAAUACCGUAAGGUGGAGCGAAUCCCAAAAAGCCGGUCUCAGUUCGGAUUGAGGUCUGCAACUCGACCUCAUGAAGUCGGAGUCGCUAGUAAUCGCAGAUCAGCAACGCUGCGGUGAAUACGUUCCCGGGUCUUGUACACACCG